AAAGCUUUAGCUUAAUUAAAGUGUCUGCUUUGCAUGCAGAAGAUGUGGGUGGGAAUCCUGCAAGUUUUA
rnacentral:tRNA from 1 species